UAAAAGGGUCGGUUGGCUAUGUAUGCCACGCCCACCCUUCGUUGGUGGGUGCUGUAUGGCUAUCAAGACAUAUGGCCGACAUAAUUUGUGGGAACCGAUAGGGUUGGCUCGCUCGGCCGACCCUCCA